rnacentral:rRNA from 1 species
CUGAUGGCGUACUUUUUGUAGAACGGUCCGGCGAGUUACUAAUGCCAGCGAGGUUAAGUGGUCAGAAGCCACGGAGCCGAAGGGAAACCAAGUCUGAAUAGGGCGUAAAGUUAGUAUUAGUAGACCCGAAACCGGGUGACCUAUCCAUGUCCAGGUUGAAGGAGCCGUAAAAGGCUUUGGAGGACCGAACACACAUCUGUUGAAAAAGGUGGUGAUGAGGUGUGGAUAGCGGAGAAAUUCCAAUCGAACUCGGAGAUAGCUGGUUCUCCUCGAAAUAGCUUUAGGGCUAGCCUCGAGAUGGAGUCUAACGGAGGUAAAGCACUGAACUGACGCGGGGCCCAAAAAGGUUACCAACUCAUAUCAAACUAAGAAUGCCGUCAAGAUACCCUCGGGAGUCAGUCUGCGUGAGAUAAGUCGCGUGGACAAAAGGGAAAGAGCCCAGACCGACAGCUAAGGUCCCAAAGUACGUGUUAAGUGGAAAAGGAUGUGGGAUUUCAUAGACAACUAGGAUGUUGGCUUAGAAGCAGCCAUACAUUUAAAGAGUGCGUAAUAGCUCACUAGUCGAGAAAACCUGCGCCGAAAAUGUAACGGGGCUAAAACACGACACCGAAGCUACGGAUUCCUUACAAAGUAAGGAGUGGUAGAGGAGCAUCCUGCAAGGACGAAGCCAAAGUGAGAACGAUGGUGGACGAAACAGGAGAGAGAAUGCCGGAAUGAGUAGCGAGAUAGAAGUAAGAAACUUCUAGGCCGAAUAUCUAAGGUUUCCUGGGUAAAGCUAAUCUUCCCAGGGUUAGUCGGGGCCUAAGGCGAGGACGAAAGUCGUAGUCGAUGGAUAACAGGUUGAUAUUCCUGUACUACGUAUCAUCAGAACUGUGGGGACGCAGGAGGAUAGGAAAACCGGGGAAUGGAAAAACCCGGCCAAGUACAAAGUCAAGGGAGAUAGGCAAAUCCGUCUCUUGAUGAUGAAGUGCGAUGGGGACUGAACAAAAGUAGGGAAGUUUCCGAAUCCACACUGUCGAGAAAAGCCGCUAUUGUGUGAUACGUACCCGUACCGUAAACCGACACAGGUAGAUGAGGAGAAAAUCCACAGGCCGACGGGAGAAGUGUUGUUAAGGAACUCGGCAAAAUGACCCCGUAACUUAGGGAGAAGGGGAGCCACGCAAGUGGCCGCAGAAAAGAGGCUCAAGCGACUGUUUAGCAAAAACACAGGUCUCUGCGAAACCGAAAGGUGAAGUAUAGGGGCUGACACCUGCCCGGUGCUGGAAGGUUAAAAGGAGAGGUUCGACGUAAGUCAAAGCUUUGAAUUCAAGCCCCAGUAAACGGCGGCCGUAACUAUAACGGUCCUAAGGUAGCGAAAUUCCUUGUCAGGUAAGUUCUGACCCGCACGAAAGGUGUAACGAUUUGAGCACUGUCUCGACAACACGCCCGGUGAAAUUGAAGAACCAGUGAAGAUACUGGUUACCCGCAACAGGACGGAAAGACCCCAUGGAGCUUUACUGCAGCCUGAUACUGGGAUUCGAUGAUAUAUGUACAGGAUAGGAGGGAGACUAGGAAUCCGGGACGCCAGUUUCGGAGGAGUCGACGGUGGGAUACCUCUCUUAUGUUAUUGGAUUUCUAACUUGGCACCGUGAUCCGGUGUGAGGACAAUGUCAGGCGGGCAGUUUGACUGGGGCGGUCGCCUCCUAAAAGGUAACGGAGGCGCUCGAAGGUCACCUCAGAAUGAUUGGAAACCAUUCAAAGAGUGUAAAGGCAAAAGGUGGCUUGACUGCGACACCGACGGGUGGAGCAGGUACGAAAGUAGGACUUAGUGAUCCGGUGGUAUUAAGUGGGAAUGCCAUCGCUCAACGGAUAAAAGCUACCCUGGGGAUAACAGGCUUAUC